rnacentral:rRNA from 1 species
UGCCAGCCGCCGCGGUAAUACGGGAGGGGCAAGCGUUAUCCGAAAUGACUGGGCGUAAAGAGUCCGUAGACUGUACUGUAAGUUAUUUGUUAAAUCCUAAAGCCCAACUUUAGAACAGCAUUUAAUACUACUUUACUUGAGUUUUGUUCGGAAGAGUAGAAUUCCACGUUUAGGGAUAAUCCCCGUAGAUAUGUGGAGGAACACCAUUAGCGAAGGCGACUCUUUGGUAAAAACUGACGUUGAGGGGCGAAAGCGUGGGUAGCAAACAGGAUUAGAUA